CCGACGGUGAGAGGCGAAAGCUGGGGGAGCAAACCGGAUUAGAUACCCGGGUAGUCCCAGCUGUAAACGAUGCGCGUUAGGUGUGUCAGUGACCACGUGUCACUGAUGUGCCGAAGGGAAACCGUGAAACGCGCCGCCUGGGGAGUACGGUCGCAAGGCUGAAACUUAAAGGAAUUGGCGGGGGAGCACCACGACGGGUGGAGCCUGCGGUUUAAUCGGACUCAACGCCGGAAAUCUCACCGGAUAA
rnacentral:rRNA from 1 species